AGCGGCUGGCUUACCCUCCUGGGGAGCGACUGCGCCCGGGGUCAUUGGCGCCGCUGCAGUGGCGUCGCCUGGCUCCUGGGACCGCGCCCUGCUGCGCCCCAAGGGAGCCCCCGGCCUCGGGCGGGCCUGCCUCCUCUCCUUAGAGGUCUCAGUAUCUGAAGACACACCCUAGUAGAAAACUAUGAAGAAGUUGGGAGGUGGGGAAGAACUGUAUGCUGAGAGUUUUAGUCUCUGCUGCUGAUUUGUGACAUUGAGGUCUUUGCCAGUUAAAAAAGAACAAAAGAUAAGAAAGAAGAAAAGAAACAGCAUUAAAUGAAGAAGCUAUUGAAUAUGAUAGCAAAAGAAGAUGACCAAAACAAUAGAGGACUAACAUUAUAAUAAAAAGAUAAAAGAAAAAUAUAAAUGCUUUUAUUAAAAGGACAAAAAUUCAUCCCAGCGGGUAUGGCUCUGUGGUGAAGUGUCAACCUAUGAACCAGGAGGUCAUGGUUCAAUUCCUGGUCAGGGCACAUGCCCAGGUUGCAGGCUCUAUCUCCAGUGUGGGGCAUGUAGAAAGCAACCAAUCACUCAGUGAUUCUGAUCCAUGUUUCCUUCUACCCCACUUCCUUCCUCUCUGAAAUCAAUAAAAAAAAUUUUUAAGGACAAAAAUUCUGACAAUAGAAGUAGAGAUAAAGAAAG